GACGAACGCUGGCGGCGUGCCUAAUACAUGCAAGUCGAACGCAGUGGGGACGGGUGAGUAACACGUGGGUCACCUCCCAUCAGAGGGGAUAACACUUGGAAACAGGUGCUAAACCGAUACUGAUGGAUGGACCCGCGGUACAUUAGCUAGUUGGUGAGGUAACGGCUCACCAAGGCCACGAUGCAUAGACGACGUGGGAGGGUGAUCGGCCACCCUGAGAAUGAGCCACGGCCCAUACUCCUACGGGAGGCAGCAGUAGGGAAUCUUCGGCAAUGGACGAACGUCUGACCGAGCAAUGCCGCGUGAGUGAAGAAGGUUGUCGGAUCGUAAAACUCUGUUGUUAGAGAAGCGGUAUCUAACCAGAAAGCCACGGCUAACUACGUGCCAGCCGCCGCGGUAAUUC
rnacentral:rRNA from 1 species